rnacentral:rRNA from 1 species
UGUAAGUAAGCUUUGAUCCAGAGAUUUCCGAAUGGGGAAACCCAGCAUGAGUUAUGUCAUGUUAUCGAUAUGUGAAUACAUAGCAUAUCAGAAGGCACACCCGGAGAACUGAAACAUCUUAGUACCCGGAGGAAGAGAAAGAAAAUUCGAUUCCCUUAGUAGCGGCGAGCGAAAUGGGAAGAGCCCAAACCAACAAGCUUGCUUGUUGGGGUUGUAGGACACUCUAUACGGAGUUACAAAGGACGACAUUAGACGAAUCAUCUGGAAAGAUGAAUCAAAGAAGGUAAUAAUCCUGUAGUCGAAAAUGUUGUCUCUCUUGAGUGGAUCCUGAGUACGACGGAGCACGUGAAAUUCCGUCGGAAUCUGGGAGGACCAUCUCCUAAGGCUAAAUACUCUCUAGUGACCGAUAGUGAACCAGUACCGUGAGGGAAAGGUGAAAAGCACCCCGGAAGGGGAGUGAAAUAGAACCUGAAACCGUGUGCUUACAAGUAGUCAGAGCCCGUUAAUGGGUGAUGGCGUGCCUUUUGUAGAAUGAACCGGCGAGUUACGAUUUGAUGCAAGGUUAAGCAGUAAAUGUGGAGCCGUAGCGAAAGCGAGUCUGAAUAGGGCGUUUAGUAUUUGGUCGUAGACCCGAAACCAGGUGAUCUACCCUUGGUCAGGUUGAAGUUCAGGUAACACUGAAUGGAGGACCGAACCGACUUACGUUGAAAAGUGAGCGGAUGAACUGAGGGUAGCGGAGAAAUUCCAAUCGAACCUGGAGAUAGCUGGUUCUCUCCGAAAUAGCUUUAGGGCUAGCCUCAAGUGAUGAUUAUUGGAGGUAGAGCACUGUUUGGACGAGGGGCCCCUCUCGGGUUACCGAAUUCAGACAAACUCCGAAUGCCAAUUAAUUUAACUUGGGAGUCAGAACAUGGGUGAUAAGGUCCGUGUUCGAAAGGGAAACAGCCCAGACCACCAGCUAAGGUCCCAAAAUAUAUGUUAAGUGGAAAAGGAUGUGGCGUUGCCCAGACAACUAGGAUGUUGGCUUAGAAGCAGCCAUCAUUUAAAGAGUGCGUAAUAGCUCACUAGUCGAGUGACACUGCGCCGAAAAUGUACCGGGGCUAAACAUAUUACCGAAGCUGUGGAUUGUCCUUUGGACAAUGGUAGGAGAGCGUUCUAAGGGCGUUGAAGCAUGAUCGUAAGGACAUGUGGAGCGCUUAGAAGUGAGAAUGCCGGUGUGAGUAGCGAAAGACGGGUGAGAAUCCCGUCCACCGAUUGACUAAGGUUUCCAGAGGAAGGCUCGUCCGCUCUGGGUUAGUCGGGUCCUAAGCUGAGGCCGACAGGCGUAGGCGAUGGAUAACAGGUUGAUAUUCCUGUACCACCUAUAAUCGUUUUA